rnacentral:rRNA from 1 species
AUUGAACGCUGGCGGCAUGCCUUACACAUGCAAGUCGAACGGUAACAGGUCUUCGGAUGCUGACGAGUGGCGAACGGGUGAGUAAUACAUCGGAACGUGCCUAGUAGUGGGGGAUAACUACUCGAAAGAGUGGCUAAUACCGCAUGAGAUCUACGGAUGAAAGCAGGGGAUCGCAAGACCUUGUGCUACUAGAGCGGCCGAUGGCAGAUUAGGUAGUUGGUGGGAUAAAAGCUUACCAAGCCGAAGAUCUGUAGCUGGUCUGGGAGGACGAUCAGCCACACUGGGACUGAGAAACGGCCCAGACUCGUGCGGGAGGCAGCAGUGGGGAAUUUUUGACGAUGGGCGCAAGCCUGAUCCAGCAAUGCCGCGUGCAGGAUGAAGGCCUUCGGGUUGUAAACUGCUUUUGUACGGAACGAAAAGCCCCGGGUUAAUACCCUGGGGUCAUGACGGUACCGUAAGAAUAAGCACCGGCUAACUACGUGCCAGCCGCCGCCGUAA